rnacentral:ncRNA from 1 species
CCUUAUAUUUCUAUAAGGAUCAGAUCAUAUCAUCAUUCUUAUUAGAAUGCUCCCCGUUUCAGCUUUCAAACAUUAAAAGCCUACAAUUGAUCGUUGCACCUGUUUAAAUUAUUAAACUUGGCUCAGGAUUAUCUAAAUAUUGACAUUAUUACUAUUUGAGUAGUCAAAAUAUUAGGAUGUUCCCUGAAUUAAAGGAGUUUUUAGGGACCUCAAUACUUAAUCCCAAGGAAUGCGUCGCCUGAUCUCUGAGUCAUCAUACAGCUCAAUUU